UUUUCCUCCGUUUCGGGGUCCGAUUUAGCCUGCUAGUUGUACGUUUACCGUAGCGAAAAGCUCCGUAACACGUGGCCAAACUACCCUGUGGAGGACCAUAACCUCGGGAAACUGAGGCUAAUAGUCCAUACGACACACAAGUUGGAAUACUGCGUGUCCGAAACGCUCCGGCGCCACAGGAUGUGGCUGCGGCUGAUUAGGUAGACGGUGGGGUAACGGCCCACCGUGCCGAUAAUCAGUACGGGUUGUGAGAGCAAGAGCCCGGAGACGGACUCUGAGACAAGAGUCCGGGCCCUACGGGGCGCAGCAGGCGCGAAACCUUUACACUGCACGCCAGUGCGAUAAGGGGACCCCGAGUGCGAGGACAUACUAGUCCUCGCUUUUCUGUACCGUAGGGAGGUACAGGAACAAGAGCUGGGCAAGACCGGUGCCAGCCGCCGCGGUAAUACCGGCAGCUCAAGUGAUGGCCGCUGUUAUUGGGCCUAAAGCGUCCGUAGCUGGCCACGCAAGUCCGUCGGGAAAUCCAUCAGCUCAACUGAUGGGCGUNCGGCGGAAACUGCGUGGCUUGGGACCGGAAGGCUNGAGGGGUACGUUCCGGGGUAGGAAUGAAAUCCGUAAUNCUGGAC
rnacentral:rRNA from 1 species